UUCAAUCUGCAAAUCGCGAUAGGAAAAAUCUUCCUCAUAUCCAGCCGGUGAAUAUGAGUACAUAGAUGUGAUUGUGGAAGGAGAGAGAGUGUUGAUAGACAUAGAUUUCAGAUCCGAGUUUGAGAUAGCUUGAUCAACCGGAGGCUACAAAUCAAUCCUCCAA